UACGAAGGGGGCUAGCGUUGCUCGGAAUCACUGGGCGUAAAGGGCGCGUAGGCGGCGUUUUAAGUCGGGGGUGAAAGCCUGUGGCUCAACCACAGAAUUGCCUUCGAUACUGGUUGGCUUGAGACCGGAAGAGGACAGCGGAACUGCGAGUGUAGAGGUGAAAUUCGUAGAUAUUCGCAAGAACACCCGUGGCUAAGGCGGCUACUCUAGUACGGUACUGACGCUGAGACGCGAAAGCGUGGGGAGCGAACAGG
rnacentral:rRNA from 1 species